GUGAAUCAUCAAAUUUUUGAACGCAAAUUGCACUCUCUGGUAUUCCGGAGAGUAUGCCUGUUUGAGGGUCAGUUUUAAUAAAAAUUGGUGUGGUUGCCGCCUUUCGUGGUGAGGCACUGGAUUUGCUUCGACCUUCCUUCGGUUUAGUGACCUAAAAUUUUGCCUGAUUUUUUCCACACGUAUUUCAAUGAUUUUAUGUUCGUUUG
rnacentral:misc_RNA from 1 species